rnacentral:rRNA from 1 species
AGUCACUGACAUUAGAUACCCGCGUAGUCCCAGCCGUAAACGAUGCGCGUUAGGUGUAUCGACGACCACGAGUCGUCGAGGUGCCGAGGGAAACCGUGAAACGUGCCGCCUGGGAAGUACGGUCGCAAGGCUGAACUUAAAGGAAUUGCGGGGAGCACCACAACAGGUGGAGCCUGCGGUUUAAUUGGACUCAACGCCGGAAAUCUCACCGGAUAAGACAGCAGAAUGAUUGCCGGGCUGAAGACUCUGCAUGACUAGCUG